rnacentral:tRNA from 1 species
GGAGAGAUGGCAGAGUGGUCGAAUGCGGCUGAUUCGAAAUCAGCUGUAUCUUCACGGGUACCGGGGGUUCGAAUCCCUCUCUCUCCG